AGACAAUGGUAGGAGAGCGUUCUAAGUGCUGUGAAGUCAGACCGUGAGGACUGGUGGAGCGCUUAGAAGUGAGAAUGCCGGUAUGAGUAGCGAAAAAAGAGUGAGAAUCUCUUUCACCGAAUGCCUAAGGUUUCCUGAGGAAGGCUCGUCCUCUCAGGGUUAGUCGGGACCUAAGCCGAGGCCGAAAGGCGUAGGCGAUGGACAACAGGCAGAUAUUCCUGUACCACCUCAUGACCGUUUGAGCGAUGGGGGGACGCAGUAGGAUAAGGAAUGCGCACGGAUGGAUGUGUGCGCCCAAGCAGUGAGAAAGUCAGAUAGGCAAAUCCGUCUGGCAAUUUCAAGCUGUGAUGGGGAGGUCUUCGACCGAAGUUCCUGAUUUCACACUGCCGAGAAAAGCCUCUAGCAAGGUCACAGGUGCCCGUACCGCAAACCGACACAGGUAGGCGAGGAGAGAAUCCUAAGGUGAGCGGGAGAACUCUCGUUAAGGAACUCGGCAAAAUGACCCCGUAACUUCGGGAGAAGGGGUGCUCCUUUAAGGAGGAGCCGCAGUGAAUAGGCCCAAGCGACUGUUUAGCAAAAACACAGGUCUCUGCGAAGCCGAAAGGCGAAGUAUAGGGGCUGACACCUGCCCGGUGCUGGAAGGUUAAGGGGAAGAGUUAGGACUUCGGUCCGAAGCUUAGAACCGAAGCCCCAGUAAACGGCGGCCGUAACUAUAACGGUCCUAAGGUAGCGAAAUUCCUUGUCGGGUAAGUUCCGACCCGCACGAAAGGUGCAACGACUUGGGCACUGUCUCAACGAGAGACCCGGUGAAAUUAUACUAUGCGUGAAGAUGCGCAUUACCCGCGACAGGACGGAAAGACCCCGUGGAGCUUUACUGUAGCCUGAUAUUGAAUGUCUGUGCAGCUUGUACAGGAUAGGUGGGAGCCUUUGAAGCAGGAGCGCCAGCUUCUGUGGAGGCAUCCGUGGGAUACCACCCUGGCUGUAUGGACCUUCUAACCCAGGACCGUGAUCCGGUUCGGAGACAGUGUCAGGCGGGCAGUUUGACUGGGGCGGUCGCCUCCCAAAAGGUAACGGAGGCGCCCAAAGGUUCCCUCAGAAUGGUUGGAAAUCAUUCGUAGAGUGUAAAGGCAGAAGGGAGCUUGACUGCGAGACCUACAAGUCGAGCAGGGACGAAAGUCGGGCUUAGUGAUCCGGUGGUUCCGCAUGGAAGGGCCAUCGCUCAACGGAUAAAAGCUACCCCGGGGAUAACAGGCUUAUCUCCCCCAAGAGUUCACAUCGACGGGGAGGUUUGGCACCUCGAUG
rnacentral:rRNA from 2 species